GGCACUCGGGCGCCAGGCGGUACUCGAGGGACGCGACGACGCCGGGCACCGCGGCGGCUAUGGCCUCGCAGUGGGCGUGGUAGAAGACGGUGGCCGGGGAGAAGAGGACGAAGCCGCUGCCGUGGAAGAAGAGCACGAGACGGGGAGCCUGUUGCUGGUGGCGGGGGAGGGCGGCGGGACGGGGUUGGGCCGAGCGAGGCGUUGAGCGGCACGUCACGGGAGACGGCGGAGCGGCUGGCGGAGGCAGCCUCGGAGGCCGGGACGAGCGGGACUUGGGGGCACGUCACCAUGCCGUCCGGGUUGACGGCGAUUUGCCAACUCCAGCGGUACGGCGUUGGCGGCGGGCGCGGCGGCGUCCGUGAUGUCGUCCAUGGCGAUUCCUCCGAUCGUCUCGACUUGCUUUGUGUGUGUGUGUGUGUGUGUUUCUCCUGCCUUGUGGUGGGGUGCGUUCCUAGCACUGGAGGUGGGCAUUCCAGCCAUGGCGAAAAUUGGAGGCGCUUCAAUACGCGCCGGGAUUUCUCUGUGGACGGAUCUGAUUUGUCAAAGCGCCAUGUCGUGUGACGAGCUGACUGCAGCACCAAUUCGCUGCCGGGUCGUUUCCGAUCGUCUGCAAGGGUGCCCGCGUCUGGCUCGGCACCUUCCCCUCCGUGGGCCCAGGGCCAAGAUCAACUUCCCCUCACCCGCCGACGCUGCCCCCGUCCUCGACCUCGUUGCCGGCGAGGAGGAUGACGACCAUCGCUACACGGCGUCCGUCGGCAACCAUGAGGCCGAGCUCAGCGAGAGCUCCGACUCCGGCGCCCUCCCGGACUUCUCGUGGCAGGGCGUGUCGUGUGGGAGGGACGGGUGUGAGGACGAGGACGAGGACGAGAGUGUGAAAUGAAAGAUGGAGGGAUAUAGAUGAUCACUUUAAAAUUU
rnacentral:lncRNA from 1 species